UACGGAGGGGGCUAGCGUUGUCCGAAGUUACGUGGGCGUAAAGCGCGCGUAGGCGGGUUGGUAAGUCCGGCUGUCGAAAGCCCGGAGACUCGAACUCCGGAGGGUCGGUGGAUACUGCCAGUCUUGAAGGUGCUAGGGGGAGAUGGAAUUACCGGUGUAGCGGAUGAAUGCGUAGAUAUCGGUAGGAACACCAGUGGCGAAGGCGGUCUCCUGGGGCACUUCUUGACGCUGAGGCGCGGAAAGCUGGGGGAGCGAACGGG
rnacentral:rRNA from 1 species